rnacentral:tRNA from 1 species
CGUAGCUCAGUCGGUAGAGCAGUUGACUCUUAAUCAAUUGGUCGACGGUUCGAAUCCGCCCGG